rnacentral:lncRNA from 1 species
CAACAGACUUGCUAGCAGUAUCUUCCACCAGGAGAUGGAGAAUCCAAGGUAUGGAGAGGGACCACGCCCAUGCCAUGCCCAACAACCUGCUCAUGGACUGAUCACCCCACCGCUCUAGAGAAUGGAGAUAAAGACGUGGAUGAAAGAGAGAUGACUCUGAAGGUGUUGCAUCUGAGCGACCAGGAGAAGCUCGCUGCAGUGUACUGAUGUGGGGAAGACUGAGGAGUGUGUGUCUGGGUGAAAUAAUGGGAGCUAAGUUGUUGGUCUAUAAAUUUUAAGGCAUUGAUGUGGCGCAUGAGUGAAUUCAAGUAGGCGGUUGGCUAUUGGUGCUUCCUCAUCUUUCUUUCUCUAUUUUUUAUUUAAAUGUGUUCUCUUACUAAUCAUAAAAUUAUUACAAUAAAAUUAUUAUU